AGAAUGAACGCUGGCGGCAUGCCUAACACAUGCAAGUCGAACGAAGCCUUCGGGCUUAGUGGCGCACGGGUGCGUAACGCGUGGGAAUCUACCCUUGGGUUCGGAAUAACAGUUAGAAAUGACUGCUAAUACCGAAUGAUGUCGUAAGACCAAAGAUUUAUCGCCCAGGGAUGAGCCCGCGUAGGAUUAGCUAGUUGGUGUGGUAAAAGCGCACCAAGGCGACGAUCCUUAGCUGGUCUGAGAGGAUGAUCAGCCGCACUGGGACUGAGACACGGCCCAGACUCCUACGGGAGGCAGCAGUGGGGAAUAUUGGACAAUGGGCGAAAGCCUGAUCCAGCAAUGCCGCGUGAGUGAUGAAGGCCUUAGGGUUGUAAAGCUCUUUUACCCGGGAUGAUAAUGACAGUACCGGGAGAAUAAGCUCCGGCUAACUCCGUGCCAGCAGCCGC
rnacentral:rRNA from 1 species